rnacentral:rRNA from 1 species
AAGUCUCAGAGCCGGGUGUUGGUUCCGGUAGAGAUCGAGGGAAGUUAGUACCGAAGUCUGGGAUGGAAGAUGGCGAGAAAAGCUGUGUGGAUUUCUGAGGUGCCCGUACCGCAAACCGACACAGGUAGGUAGGAAGAAGAUUCUAAGGCCAACGGGAGAAGGGUUGUUAAGGAACUCGGCAAACUGACCCCGUAACUUCGGGAGAAGGGGUGCUCCAGAGAUGGAGCCGCAGAGAAUCGGCCCAAGCAACUGUUUACCAAAAACACAGGUUUGUGCUAAAUCGAAAGAUGACGUAUACGAGCUGACGCCUGCCCGGUGCUGGAAGGUUAAGAGGAGAUGUGCAAGCAUUGAAUCGAAGCCCCAGUGAACGGCGGCCGUAACAAUAACGGUCCUAAGGUAGCGAAAUUCCUUGUCAGGUAAGUUCUGACCCGCAUGAAAGGCGUAAUGAUUUGGGCACUGUCUCAUCAGCCCGCCCGGCGAAAUUGUAGUACCGGUGAAGAUGCCGGUUACCCGCGACAAGACGGAAAGACCCCAUGGAGCUUUACUGUAGCCUAAUAUUGGGUUUCGAUGUUGCAUGCACAGGAUAGAUGGGACUCUGGGAAACCAGUGCUUUGGCGCUGGCGGAGAGGCCGUUGGGAUACCAUCCUUGCGAUAUUGGAAUUCUAACCUGCGGCUCUGAAUCGAGUCGGGGGACAUUGUUAGGUGGGCAGUUUGACUGGGGCGGUCGCCUCCUAAAAAGUAACGGAGGCGUUCAAAGGUUCGCUCAGCUUGAACGGAAAUCAAGCAAAAGAGUGCAAACGCAGAAGCGAGCCUAACUGCGAGACUGACGGGUCGAGCAGUAACGAAAGUUGGAGUUAGUGAUCCGGUGGUAUGUGAGUGGAAAUGCCAUCGCUCAACGGAUAAAAGUUACCCUGGGGAUAACAGGCUGAUCUCCCCCAAGAGUCCACAUCGACGGGGAGGUUUGGCACCUCGAUGUCGGCUCAUCGCAUCCUGGGGCUGUAUUCGGUCCCAAGGGUUUGGCUGUUCGCCAAUUAAAGCGGUACGCGAGCUGGGUUCAGAACGUCGUGAGACAGUUCGGUCCCUAUCUGUCGUGGGCGCAGGAUAUUUGAUGGGAGCUGUCCCUAGUACGAGAGGACCGGGACGGACGUACCUCUGGCGCACCAGUUGUUCUGCCAAGAGCAUAGCUGGGCAACUACGUACGGAUCGGAUAAACGCUGAAAGCAUCUAAGCGUGAAGCCGACCCAAAGAUAAGAUAUCCCACUGUUUCAAACAGGUAAGAUCCCUUGAAGACUACAAGGUUGAUAGGCACGAUGUGUAAGUGGAGUGAUCCAUUCAGCAAGCGUGUACUAAUAGAUCGAGGGCUUGAUC